CCGUCGCCCCGGCCCGGCACUAUUGAUUUUUUUUCCUUUUUGUAUUUGGGAGUGGGUGUCGUUUCCUCUUUCAUUUGGUGGCUCUGUUUAGAUAAUGCCGAGGGGAGAGAGAGAGAGAGAGUUUGAGAGGCGGAGCAGAGGAGGCAAUUCCUUCUGUUCAUGUCGAUUCCGAGAUAUUCUACCGCUCGAUCUUGAUUUCUCUUCCCUUUCUCUUCGAUCCCUGGCUGCCGCCCGGUUGUUCUUGUCUCUCGCCCUCCCCGGUAUUAUUUUGCUUGUGUUGUGGUUGUGUCAUGAAAAUCUAGGCUGAGUUUCUUGUUUGGAUCCGUGGCAGGUGCAUGUUGCGGCCAUGUUGUAGUCCGCCAUUUUGCUUCCCUUCUACUUGCCUGAGAUGGGUGAUUUGUUCUGUUAGUCAUCGGGUGUUCUAGGUCAUCUGGUCGUUGUGGUUGUUUUCACCCCUGCUGAUUUGUUUCCUCUGCUGUAGAUGUAGAGGUAGGCGAAGUUGUAGUUCUAGUGGUGGAUUCCCCUGUCGAUUUUAUUUCUGCUGGCCUGGGUGUCUAUUCCGCCUGCAUUUUUAUUGGUAGAUGUAGUUGUAGAUGGCUUACAUUGUAGUAUACCAUAGUUUUACACUAUAAUUUAUAUGGUUCGACGUUGUAUUUGUUGUAGGUAUUUGCGAGGUAGAUUACAGUGGAUUUUACCUUUGAAUUGGAGGGCUUACACUGUAAUUUACUGCAGAUUUACACUGUAAUUUGAAUGCUUCAACACUGUAAUUGUUGUAGGGCUUACAACGUAUUUGUCAGAUAGAUCACAGUUGAUUUACCUCUGAUUUUGCAGUGUAAUUAGCAUGCUUUUAGGACUACAAUUCAUGUAUUUUCCUGCUUUUUUAUUUUCUUCUUUUCUUGUGCCAGUGUGUCUCCGUUGCAGUAGUAUUGAGCAGAGGUCUUGUUUUAGGUUGACGAUUGUUUUUGUGUUCUUUCUAGAUUUGUCUAGUAAAUAGCGUUGCAUUAGCUGUUCAUGUGUAUUCUUUAAUGAAGUGUAUGGAGAUUUGUUCUACUAUUUUACUUAUUUUCUUUUCCUCCUUCAUGUAUUCUGUUUAUAUGUUUUAGUUUAAUGAGUAGGCUACGGAAAGUCUCUCAUCUGGACGUUUGGUUAGUAUCAUCUCUUGACAAUGCAGAUUCUGUGGGUGAACCUAUUGUACCUAACGACUGUGCGGAAGAUGGUUCUUAUCCUAUGUCUACGGAACUAUCUGGUGAUGAAGGAGGGUUUGACAAAUCUCUUUUGAAGUUCUAUUUGAAUCAAGUGUGUUUUCCUUUUCUUGUACUAUUUUGAUUUUGUUUUGGGUAUUUUCUUUGGGUGGCCCAUGUGUUUUUGUUAUUUCAGAAAGUAAAAUGCUUGAAAGGAAAUUAUCAUCUGCUUCCAUGUUCAUAGGCCCAUCUCCUGAGUGUACCUGCAAGCAAAAGGGCAAUUUGUUUUCUAUAGUUGUGCUUUUCUCAGAUUGGUAGCUAUGUGGUAUUUGAAUUUUGCUUUUACCAUGAAUAUAAUAUCGGAAUGUAGAAGCGCGGUGAUAGAAAAUGUGUCCUGCGGCAUAUUUGUUGUGAGCUUUUAUUAUUAUUUAUGUAUUUAGAAUGUUCCUAUAGUGUCUUUCAACAUAUUCUGAAACAAAUGUGUAACUCACAUUUAGAAUGAGUUCUUCCUGUGACAAUCUCAAUAGAUCAUCUUCAGUUGUUGUCUUUAACUCUUUAUCAUGCUCCUCAUCUGGCAUAUUUGAACAAAAAAUGCCAGUAUCAACAUAAUAUUGAGCAACAAACCGUUUAGAUAUUGAUGAAUUUUGCUGGGUACUUAAACAGUGUACUUUAUGUAUUUUUGCUUCCAAUAGUUGGGGUAUUCCAAGUGUAUCCUCGGAACAUGCACUGUAAAUUAUAGUGAAGUAGCUCUGAAGUUUUAUUGUAAUUCAUUGGGUUUUUACCGCAUAGCUUCAUCACUGCAAAUCCCUGCAUAAUUUCAUUCUAAUUCCCUUUGUAUUUUUUCUGUAUUCUUUGAGGGUAUUGCACUGUAAGCACUUUCACCGUAAAGCUUGGGUAUUACAGUGUAAGCCAUGGGUACUUGCUGUGUAAUUACAUUGUAUGUAUAUUGUAUUUUAUAGAGGUUUUACAAUGUAAUUCUUGGUCACUUGCACUGUAAUUACAAGCUUUGGAUUCUUGGGUUUCACAAUGUAAUUCCUGCUCACUUACACUGUAAUUUUGUGUAAUCUCAUCAGUUUUUACAGGUGUAAUUCCUUGUGUGCUUGCAAUGUAAUUACUGUGUAUGUACUAUGUAAUUUAUAGGGGGAUUUACACUGUAAAUCUUGGUCACUUUCAGUGUAACUCUUGGGUAUUUUUAGUGUCAUCCAUUUUUACUUGCAUUGUCAUUAGUUUCUGCUACUGAAUGUUUCUGAAAAUUACCCUAGAUUUUACAUUGGAACUACCUCACUAUUUUAGAGUAAUUUCCUGCUACAUGUAGCAUGCGAAGGUUAUGUAAUUUCCCAGAUUUACAGAUGUUGUUGAUAUGUCUUCUAUUUACACUGUUUUUACCCGCUUACAUGUAAACCAUGUCAGAAUUUUAGUGUAAUUUCCAUGUUCAUGUCAUUUUAAUUGCUACAUGUAGCUUGCAAAGUUCAUAUAGUUUCCCAAAUUUACAGUUUGCUAUUGAUCUGUCUCUUUUGUAGAUGAAGAAAGAUCCUCC
rnacentral:rRNA from 1 species